rnacentral:rRNA from 1 species
UCGCGCGCUUUUCGCGCCCUCCGUUCGACGAACCCGCGACGAACGCGUGCACUUUUCUCCUGGUAGGACGUCGUGAUCCGUUGGGCGUCGGUCUACGGCCCGCGGUGGAGCUCGUUCGUACGUUUCGCGACGUACGGGCGGACCCGCGGUGUCCCGGCCGACUCGCUCGACGGUAACAGAAUGGUUGGAGGCCGCUCGUUUAGUAGCGUUCGGCUCGCGGCAAGCGCGCCAGAUGCGUCGGCGAUCGGACCUAGUGCCGAUUCCGACCUCCGGUGACUGUUGGCCGCGACGUUCUCGAACAGACCUUCUACAAAACCGAUCUGCGACGCUAUAGCUUUGGGUAAUUUCAGGACCCGUCUUGAAACACGGACCAAGGAGUCUAGCAUGUACGCGAGUCAUUGGGAACGAUUAAACCUAAAGGCGCAAUGAAAGUGAAGGUCCCCCUCG